rnacentral:rRNA from 1 species
GGCUCAGAUUGAACGCUGGCGGCAUGCCUUACACAUGCAAGUCGAACGGUAACAGGGAGCUUGCUCCGCUGACGAGUGGCGAACGGGUGAGUAAUAUAUCGGAACGUACCUCGUAAUGGGGGAUAACUAGUCGAAAGAUUAGCUAAUACCGCAUACGCCCUAAGGGGGAAAGAGGGGGAUCGCAAGACCUCUUGUUAUGAGAGCGGCCGAUAUCUGAUUAGCUAGUUGGUGGAGGUAAAGGCUCACCAAGGCGACGAUCAGUAGCUGGUCUGAGAGGACGACCAGCCACACUGGAACUGAGACACGGUCCAGACUCCUACGGGAGGCAGCAGUGGGGAAUUUUGGACAAUGGGGGCAACCCUGAUCCAGCAAUGCCGCGUGAGUGAAGAAGGCCUUCGGGUUGUAAAGCUCUUUUGUCAGGGAAGAAACGGCCUGUUGCUAAUAUCCAGUGGGCUAAUGACGGUACCUGAAGAAUAAGCACCGG